rnacentral:rRNA from 1 species
UACGUAGGGUCGCGAGCGUUUGUCCGGAAUUAUUGGGUCGGUAAAGAGCUUGUAGGUCGGUUUGUCGCGUCUUGCUGUGAAAUCUCAAGGCCUCAACCUUGAGCUUGGCAGUGGGUACGGGCAGACUUAGAGGUGUGGUAGGGGAGACUGGAAUUCCGUGGUGAUAGCGGUGAAAUGCGCAGAUAUCAGGAGGAACACCGAUGCGAAAGGCAGGUCAUCUGGGCCAC